CAGGCCUGGGCCGCAACCAAAACAACAGCAAAGCGUCCGGUCAGGCACGUGAGCGAAGAGUUAAUCAUUGAGCAAAUAUUUUGAGUUCAACUCAAACACACACACACACACAGUGGCGGCCUACUUAUAAUCGCAAGUGCUCGCCAGUGCUGACCGACUUACUGCAGACAAGAACAUUCAAGAGCGGCGUGCACCUUUGCUAGCAGAAAUGAACAAACAAGCCAGUGCGGAUCCACCUCCUCCCACCGCGAGUCCAAACUCCAAAGUUUCGGGCGGAGGCCGCCAGCUGAUUGGACCGCAAAGGCUUGUCGUGCGAGCCGCAACACGUCGAUCGGUCCCGACACGCCGAGCUGGUCCCGGCUCAUGUGAUCAAACGAGAGACGUUUGACGGUUGUGUUCAUUCUCAGACACAUCGCCGCUCAUUAGCAUAUGGAUAGACAUGUGUGACGUCACAGUGGGCUAAUUAGCCACACCCCUCCCUGGCAGCCUGUUGCUCAGCCAAUGACUUGACAAGCCUAAGAACCACUUUGACGGUUCGAAUCACAAAAGAAAACUAGCGCGUUGUUUGUGCAAGUCUAAAUUGGAGCGUGAAUUGUUGUUUUACUGCCUUGAGCUCCCUCGAAUCCCAACAUGGAGCUGCUGACUUCCAACAGAUAAAAACAUGCAUCGACUUGAUUGCGUGCUUGCAUGUUUUGCGCGUGCAGGUAAGUUGAUGAUUUGCAAUGUUGCUCGCUCUUCUUACCUCUCA